rnacentral:rRNA from 1 species
CACGAACGCUGGCGGCGUGCCUAAUACAUGCAAGUCGAGCGCAGGAAACUGACGGAACUCUUCGGAGGGAAGGCGGUGGAAUGAGCGGCGGACGGGUGAGUAACACGUAAGGAACCUGCCUCAAGGAUUGGGAUAACUCCGAGAAAUCGGAGCUAAUACCGGAUAGUUCAUCGGACCGCAUGGUCCGUUGAGCAAAGGCGCUCCGGCGGCACCUUGAGCUGGCCUUGCGGUGCAUUAGCUAGUUGGUGGGGUAAUGGCCCACCAAGGCGACGAUGCAUAGCCGACCUGAGAGGGUGAUCGGCCACACUGGGACUGAGACACGGCCCAGACUCCUACGGGAGGCAGCAGCAGGGAAUCUUCCACAAUGGACGAAAGUCUGAUGGAGCAACGCCGCGUGAGUGAUGAAGGUUUUCGGAUCGUAAAACUCUGUUGUAAGGGAAGAACACGUACGAGAGGGAAUGCUCGUACCUUGGCGGUACCUUACGAGAAAGCCACGGCUAACUACGUGCCAGCCGCCGCCGUAACAC